rnacentral:rRNA from 1 species
CACGUAGGGUGCGAGCGUUGUCCGGAAUUAUUGGGCGUAAAGAGCUCGUAGGCGGUGUGUCGCGUCGGCCGUGAAAACCUGCAGCUUAACUGUGGGCUUGCGGUCGAUACGGGCAUCACUGGAGUUCGGCAGGGGAGACUGGAAUUCCUGGUGUAGCGGUGAAAUGCGCAGAUAUCAGGAGGAACACCGGUGGCGAAGGCGGGUCUCUGGGCCGAUACUGACGCUGAGGCGCGAAAGUUAGGGUAGCAAACAGG